CCCGCACAAGCGGUGGAGCAUGUGGUUUAAUUCGAAGCAACGCGAAGAACCUUACCAGGUCUUGACAUCCCGAUGCUAUUUCUAGAGAUAGAAAGUUACUUCGGUACAUCGGUGACAGGUGGUGCAUGGUUGUCGUCAGCUCGUGUCGUGAGAUGUUGGGUUAAGUCCCACAACGAGCGCAACCCCUAUUGUUAGUUGCCAUCAUUCAGUUGGGCACUCUAGCGAGACUGCCGGUAAUAAACCGGAGGAAGGUGGGAUGACGUCAAAUCAUCAUGCCCCUUAUGACCUGGGCUACACACGUGCUACAAUGGUUGGUACAACGAGUUGCGAGUCGGUGACGGCGAGCUAAUCUCUUAAAGCCAAUCUCAGUUCGGAUUGUAGGCUGCAACUCGCCUACAUGAAGUCGGAAUCGCUAGUAAUCGCGGAUCAGCACGCCGCGGUGAAUACGUUCCCGGGCCUU
rnacentral:rRNA from 1 species